AUUGAACGCUGGUGGCAUGCCUUACACAUGCAAGUCGAACGGCGAGCACGGGGCAACCCUGGUGGCGAGUGGCGAACGGGUGAGUAAUACAUCGGGACGUGCCCCGUAGCGGGGACAACCAGUCGAAAGACUGGCUAAUACCGCAUACGCUCCACGGAGGAAAGCAGGGGAUCGCAAGACCUUGCACUAUGGGGAGCGGCCGAUGCCCGAUUAGCUAGUUGGNGAGGUAAAGGCUCACCAAGGCAACGAUCGGUAGCUGGUCUGAGAGGACGACCAGCCACACUGGGACUGAGACACGGCCCAGACUCCUAC
rnacentral:rRNA from 1 species